rnacentral:rRNA from 1 species
UACGUAGGGAGCAAGCGUUGUCCGGAAUCAUUGGGCGUAAAGCGCGUGUAGGCGGCCCGGAAAGUCUGGUGUGAAAUCUUAAGGCUCAACCUUAAGCUGUCACUGGAUACUGUCGGGCUUGAGUCCGGAAGAGGAGUGUGGAAUUCCUGGUGUAGCGGUGGAAUGCGCAGAUAUCAGGAGGAACACCUAUGGCGAAGGCGGCGCUCUGGGCCGGAACUGACGCUGAGGAGCGAAAGCGUGGGUAGCAAACAGG